rnacentral:rRNA from 1 species
CCUACGGGAGGCAGCAGUAGGGAAUUUUCGGCAAUGGGGGGAACCCUGACCGAGCAACGCCGCGUGAAGGAAGAAGGAAUUCGUUCUGUAAACUUCUGUUAUAAAGGAAGAAAGACGGAUGGAGGAAAUGACAUCCGAGUGACGGUACUUUAUGAGAAAGCCACGGCUAACUACGUGCCAGCAGCCGCGGUAAU